rnacentral:misc_RNA from 1 species
UUUCUCCAGUUUUGUAAGGUUUCCUAUUCCAACCGGUAAUUUUCCAAUCAAGCUGUUGUUGUAGAGUUCCAGCUCCCAGAGGUUCUUGAGCAUUCCUAUCUGCGAUGGAAUCUCGCCGGAUAUAUUAUUAUCGGAAAGUUCCAAGCUUAUCAGCUCGGAAAGAUUUCCAAUAUCACGUGGAAUCAUGCCACCGAUGCUGCAAUUCGCUAAGUAAAGCCAAUUCAGCUUGGUUAGCUUAACAACCUCCGAUGGAAAUGGAGUUAGAUCGAAGGGAUUGUCUCCUAAACUCAG